UGGGGGCAACCCUGAUCCAGCGAUGCCGCGUGUGUGAAGAAGGCCCGAGGGUUGUAAAGCACUUUUAGUGGGGAGGAAAGGUAUUGGGUUAAGAGCUAGAUACUAUGACGUUACCCACCAUAAACAGCACCGGCUAACUCCGUGCCAGCAGCCGCGGUAAUACGGGGGGUGCAAGCGUUAAUCGGAGUUAUUGGGCGUAAAGGGUACGUAGGUUGUUCGUUAAGUUAUGUGGGAAAUACCUAGGCUUAACCUAGGAAUGUCGGAUAAUACUGAUGAACUUGAGUAUAGUAGAGGGUAGUGGAAUUUCCGGUGUAGCGGUGAAAUGCGUAGAGAUCGGAAGGAACACCAGUGGCGAAGGCGGCUACCUGGACUCAUACUGACACUGAGGUACGAAAGCGUGGGUAGCAAACAGGAUUAGAUACCCUGGUAGUCCACGCUGUAAACGAUGUCAACUAGCUGUUGGGUAAAUAAAUUUACUUAGUGGCGUAGCUAACGCGAUAAGUUGACCGCCUGGGGAGUACGGUCGCAAGAUUAAAACUCAAGGAAUUGACGGGG
rnacentral:rRNA from 1 species